rnacentral:rRNA from 1 species
UGUAGUCUGNAACCCGACUACAUGAAGCUGGAAUCGCUAGUAAUCGCAGGUCAGCAUACUGCGGUGAAUACGUUCCCGGGUCUUGUACACACCGCCCGUCACACCAUGGGAGCCGGAAAUGCCCGAAGCCAGUGACCCAACCUUAGGGAGGGAGCUGUCGAAGGUGGAGCCGGUAACUGGGGUGAAGUCGUAACAAGGUAGC